CGCGUAGGCGGCUUUAUAAGUCUGGAGUGAAAGUCCUCUUUUCAAGGGAGGAAUUGCUUUGGAAACUAUAGAGCUUGAGUGCAGGAGAGGUUAUCGGAAUUCCCGGUGUAGCGAUGAAAUGCGUAGAUAUCGGGAGGAACAUCGGUGGCGAAGGCGGGUAACUGGACUGCAACUGACGCUGAGGCGCGAAAGUGUGGGGAGCAAACA
rnacentral:rRNA from 1 species